rnacentral:lncRNA from 1 species
UAUGGCUGCACCUGUGGCACAUGGAAGUUCCAAGGAUAGCGGGUCGAAUCAGAGCUGCAACUGUUGGCCUACGCAACAGGCACAGCAACCCCGGAUCUGAGCUCCAUCUACAACCUACAUCAGACCUUUAACCCACUGAGUCAGGCCAGGGAUCAAACCUGAAUCUUCAGAGACAAUGUUGGAUCCUUAACCUGUUGAGCUGAAAUAGGAACUCCAUGAACAGGUGUUCUUAAUUUUAAUACAAAUUUAUCAAUUUUUUCCUUUUAGGAUUAGCAUUCUUUCGAGGUUCAGUUAAAAGCUCUUAUUUCCAAGUCAGAAAGUCCUCUAUAUUUUGAUUUUCAUCUUAAGUCGCAUAUAAAAUCCACCUGGAAUUUAUUUUUCUGUAUGCAUCCAGAUACAUUUUUUCCAUAUGCAAUUUAUUGUUGUUCCAUAACAAUUUACUGAACUGUCCCUUCUUUCCAUGUGAUCUAUAGUGCUGCCUCCAGUGCAUACAAAAACCCCAUUUAUACUCUGUUCAGUUGGUCAGAUGAAUUUAUCCCUGCAUGAAUAGUAUACUUAGUUACUAGAGCAUUAAUGUUAUUCCUGAUGUCUGGUCCUCAUGUUUUUUUUUCCCUUCAGGAAUGUCUAGCCUAUUCUUAGCUCUUUACAGAUAUUUUCUAUUCACCCUAGAUUCUUUCAGACCUUUGGGGAAAGAAAAAGUACAUGAGUCAUCUAUUAAUUCCAUUUCUGUUGGAGUGUUCAUUUGUUUACCUUUUUCUAUUUCUAUUCAACAGUGAUUAUUCUAAAAAUUUUAAUAUGCAGUUAACAAACUCUGAAGUUCAUCAACAUCUUAAAAUUUCUCCCAUCUUUUAUACUAUUGUCAAAUAAUACUUUAAAUUCCAUUUUUUUUAAGAAAUCCCAAAUCUACUUAUUACUUCUACGGUAUUUUUAAAGACAAUGCUUAUUUUUAAAAAUUUUUUUGCUUUUUAGGGCCACACUUGUAGCACAUGGAGGUUCCCAGGCUAGGGGUUGAAUGCGAGCUGCAGCUCCCCACCUAUACCAUAGCCACAGCAAUGCAGGAUCAAAGCCACGUCUGGGACCUAUACCACAGCUCAUCGCAACCCACUGACUUAACCCACUGAGUGAGGUCAGGGAUCGAACCUACAUGUCAUGGAUAUUAGUCAGGUUCUUUACUGCUGAGCCACGAUGGGAACUCCAACAAUGCUUACUUUAAUUAUAGUUUUAAAUAGAUAAAGCUAGUCCUGCUACAAAAUUCAAGAGGAAUAAAGGAACAUACAGUAAAAAGUCUCCUUAACACCUCUGUCCCUCUGACACCUAGGUGUCCUCCCAAUAGUGUAUUCUGGAGGUACUAAAUGUGUAAAAAAGGACACUUAUAUUGUACUUUUCCCUACUUAAUACAAAGAGUAGCAAAUCAUACACACUGGUCAACUUCUUAUUUAAUCUUGAGGUUUAUUCCUUAUCAGUUAAUAAAGUACAUAUUUUCUUUUUACAUAUGAGUAUGAUUUCAGUCUGUUUACCAACAUGUUUACCAAAAAAAUUUUUUUUGGGUCUUUUUGUCCUUUUAGGGCCCCACCCAUGGCAUGCAUGUGGAGGUUCCCAGGCUAGGGGUCGAAUUGGAGCUGUAGCCACUGGCCUAUGCCACAGACAUAGUAACACCAGAUCCGAGCUGUGUCUGUGACUUACACCACAGCUCAUGGCAACGCUGGAUUCUUAACCCACUGAGCAAGGCCAGGGAUCAAAUCUGCAACCUCAUGGUUCCCAGUCGGAUUCGUUAACCACUGAGCCACGAUGGGAACUCCACCAAUUUCCUUGUUUAAUGUGCUUCUUGCAGUCCACUCUUUCCUUCUGGAUUCAACUGCCUUUGUUCCUGAAGAACAAUCCUAUUUAAAUUCUUUCAGGAAAACCUGAAAUGAGUUUUUCAUCCUCUUUUGAAUGCUAAAAUAACUCUAUAAAAUUCAAAGCUAAUAUCAAUUUUUUUUCAGCACUUACAAGUUAUUUUAUUGUUUUCUGGCCUAUAUUGCUGUCACUGAAAAGCUUGCUACCAGUGUAAUUAUUCCUUUGUAGAUAAUGUCUUUUAGAUUCUUUCCAUCUUUUGCAACUGUACAUUUUGUCUAGAAGCAGACUUGCUUUUACUCACUCUAAGUAUUUGCUAUGCUUUUUUAAUUUAGUUUUUUUUAAUGGCUACACCUGCAGCAUAUUUAAGCUCCUGGGGUAGGGGUCAAACUGGAGCUGCCCAGCCUACACCACAGCCACACCAAAUCUGAGCCUUAUCUGUGACUUACAUUGAAGCUUGUUCAACACCAGAUCCUUAACCCACUGAGGACAGGGAUUGAACCCCAAGGACACUAUGUUGGGUUCUUAACCUGCUGAGCCACAACAGUAACUCCUAUGCUUCUUUGAUUCAUAUCUCCUUUAUAAAUUCUGGAAAAAUCUUCAAAUCUCUUCCCGUAGACAUUCUUUAUAUUGGAAUAACUCAUUCUAUUCUCCAUGUCUCUAAGCCUUUUCCUAUUUCCUACCCCUUCCUUUGUUCUAAUCUGGGUAUGUUCCUUCUACUUCACCAAUUCUCUCUUCAUAUAUGUCCAAUUUUUGGUUUAAUCUCUCCUCUGAGCUCUUAAUUUCUUUAAUGAUGGACUUUUUUGUUUUAAAAUACUUAGCUUUGCAAAUCUACUUGGUCUUUUUCAUAAUGCCAUCUUUUCUAACAACUUUUAUGCUUUCCUCUCCCCACCAAUCGUUUAAAAAAGAUUUUUAUUUUUUCCAUUAUAGUUACAGUGUUACUUUCUACUGUACAGCAAAGUGACCCAGUCAUAUAUAUUCUUUUUUCCACAUUACCCUCCAUUUUUUAAAAGAUUCCCAUCAAUCAUUUUAAACAUUCUUAUUCCAUAGUUAUCCUGCAUUACAUGUGUGGAAUAACAAAGUGUGCAGACCAACUGCACCUGCAGGCUACUUACACGUAGCACUGCUCUACAAUGUGUCAGAAGAACAUCUGGGGGGCUCUCUGUGCAGAUUUUUGUGACAUUGAUGACAACUGUGGGUGGACAGCAAAGUGGAGAAGACACUUCUGACAAUGGUGGCUUGUAUGUGGAGAGCAAGAAUCUCUUAAGAAGGUAUAAUUAACUAUUUCAGGUCACAGUCUUCCUUAGCUGGCAACAUGAAAAGGAGGAGGCAGGUGGGAAUUCAGCAGGUAUUGAAAAGGCCACAUUACAGUGUAACUUUAUAAAAAAUCUGACAGGUCUCCUGGUGAAGAAUGUUUACUAUCACUUGCUUCCUCCAUUACUCUAGUCCUCUAAUAGGAUAGGACAGUAGGCAAAGGGCCAGUGAAGGAUACUAAUAACAGGCGUUCUCUCGUGGCGCAGAGGGUUAAGGAUCCAGCAUUGUCACUGUAGUAGCUUGGGGUUCAAUCCCUGGCCUGGGAACUUUCACAUGCCCGCAGGCCCAGCCAACAACAACGAAAAAGGAUACUAAUAAUAAAAGCUUACAGAAAUUUAUUUGCAAGUUCUCUUUCCUCAUCCCCUGGCAAACAAGAGGAUCACAUCAUACAAUGGCAUUCAUGCUUAGGAACUAGCAAGCGAACACUUAAUAUUAUCCCAACUGAAGCAGGAAGACCAAACUGAUGAAAAAUAUUUCAAAGCCAAAUGACUUAUGGGUUAUCUGCACCAUUAUUCUCAUUAUGGAAUGCAGGGAACGGAUCACACAUAUACUUAGCAUAAUGAAAUCUAAAAUGCACACCUUAUUAUAUUUUGAGUCGUAAACACCACCAACUUAAGACGACAGAAUUCCCAGGAAUAAGCUUUUUUAUUUUUCGUCUUUUUGCCAUUUCUUGGGCCGCUCCCGCGGCAUGUGGAGGUUCCCAGGCUAGGGGUUGAAUUGGAGCUGUAGCCGCCGGCCUACGCCAGAGCCACAGCAAUGCGGGAUCCGAGCCACGUCUGUGACCUACACCAUAGCUCACGGCAACACCGGAUCGUUAACCCACUGAGCAAGGGCAGGGAUCGAACCCGCAACCUCAUGGUUCUUAGUCGGAUUCGUUAACCACUGCGCCACGACAGGAACUCCCCAGGAAUAAGCUUUAAGGUUUGCCAAAAUAUUUUUGGUCAUACCCACGGCGUGCAAAGUUCCUGGGCAAGGGAUUGAACACAGGUCACGGCAGUGACAACGACUGGAUCCUUAACUGCUAGACCUCCAGGGAACUCCAAUAUUUCAAACUUUCAUUUUUUCAUUUUUAUUUUUAGGAGCACACCAGCUGUACAUGGAGGUUCUGAGCCUAGGGGUCGAAUCAGAGCUGUAGGUGCCAGCCCACGCCACAGCCACAACAAUGCCAGAUCCAAGCCAUGUCUGUGACCUAUACCACAGCUCAUGGCAACGAUGAUCCUUAAACCAGCGAGGCCAAGGAUUGAACCCGCAACCUCAUGGAUCCUAGUUGGGUUCGUUAUGGCUGAGCCAUGAAGGGAACUCCUAUUUCAAACUUUUAAACUGCAGUCUUUUUCACUAUUAGACUGAGAACUACAUUGUUUUCCUACAAGUGUGGUUUA